AUAUCAAUAAGCGGAGGAAAAGAAACCAACUGGGAUUCCCUUAGUAACGGCGAGUGAAGCGGGAACAGCUCAACUUUGAAAUCUCGCAGGUCUCCUGCGCGAAUUGUAGUUUCUAGAAGCGCUUUUCGGGGGCGGCCUGGGCAAAAGUCUGCUGGAAUGCGGCAUCGUGGAGGGUGAGAAUCCCGUUCAUGGUCCGGAGCCCGCUCCUGUGUGAUGCGUUUUCGACGAGUCGGAUAGUUUGGGAUUGCUGUCCAAAAUGGGUGGUAAGCACCAUCUAAAGCUAAAUAACGGCGAGAGACCGAUAGCGCACAAGUA
rnacentral:rRNA from 1 species